rnacentral:rRNA from 1 species
GACGAACGCUGGCGGCGUGCCUAAUACAUGCAAGUAGAACGCUGAAGGAGGAGCUUGCUUCUCUGGAUGAGUUGCGAACGGGUGAGUAACGCGUAGGUAACCUGCCUGGUAGUGGGGGAUAACUAUUGGAAACGAUAGCUAAUACCGCAUAAUAGCAGUUGUUGCAUGAUAACUGUUUGAAAGGUGCAAUUGCACCGCUACCAGAUGGACCUGCGUUGUAUUAGCUAGUUGGUGGGGUAACGGCUCACCAAGGCGACGAUACAUAGCCGACCUGAGAGGGGGGUCGGCCACACUGGGACUGGGACACCGCCCCGACUCCUACGGGAGGCAGCAGUAGGGGAUCUUCGGCCAUGGACGGAAGUCUGACCGGGCAACGCCGCGGGAGUGAAGAAGGUUUUCGGAUCGUAAAGCUCUGUUGUAAGAGAAGAACGAGUGUGGGAGUGGAAAGUUCACACUGUGACGGUAUCUUACCAGAAAGGGACGGCUAACUACGUG